AUUGCCUUAGUAGCGGCGAGUGAAGCGGCAAAAGCUCAAAUUUGAAAUCUGGCUCUUUCAGAGUCCGAGUUGUAAUUUGAAGAAGGUAUCUUUGGGUCUGGCUCUUGUCUAUGUUUCUUGGAACAGAACGUCACAGAGGGUGAGAAUCCCGUGCGAUGAGAUGAUCCAGGCCUAUGUAAAGUUCCUUCGAAGAGUCGAGUUGUUUGGGAAUGCAGCUCUAAGUGGGUGGUAAAUUCCAUCUAAAGCUAAAUAUUGGCGAGAGACCGAUAGCGAACAAGUACAGUGAUGGAAAGAUGAAAAGAACUUUGAAAAGAGAGUGAAAAAGUACGUGAAAUUGUUGAAAGGGAAGGGCUUGAGAUCAGACUUGGUAUUUUGUAUGUUACUUCUUCGGGGGUGGCCUCUACAGUUUAUCGGGCCAGCAUCAGUUUGGGCGGUAGGAGAAUUGCGUUGGAAUGUGGCACGGCUUCGGUUGUGUGUUAUAGCCUUCGUCGAUACUGCCAGCCUAGACUGAGGACUGCGGUUUAUACCUAGGAUGUUGGCAUAAUGAUCUUAAGUCGCCCGUCUUGA
rnacentral:rRNA from 1 species